rnacentral:rRNA from 2 species
UGGGGAAUUUUGGACAAUGGGCGAAAGCCUGAUCCAGCCAUGCCGCGUGCAGGAUGAAGGCCUUCGGGUUGUAAACUGCUUUUGUACGGAAGCGAAACGGUCUUUUCUAAUAAAGAAGGCUAAUGACGGUACCGUAAGAAUAAGCACCGGCUAACUACGUG